UUUUUUAAAAGUUUUAUUGAGGUAAGGUUGAUUUACAAUGUUGUGAUUAUUUCUGCUAUACAACAAAGUGAGUUAUGCAGAUACACUUAUCCAUCCUUUUUCAAGUUAUUUUCCCAUAUAGGUUAUUACAGAAUAUUAAGUACAGUUCCCUAUGCUAUAUAGUAGGUCCCUGCUGACCAUUCAUUCCAUACACCACAGUGUGCAUAUGCCAAUCCCAAACCCUCAAUCCAUCCCCUGCCCCACAUUUCCCCUUUGGUAACCAUAAGUUUGUUUUCAAAGUCUGUGAGUCUGUUUCUGUUUUGUAAUUAAAUUUAUUUGUUUUUUGUUUUGUUUUUUUUUUUUUAGAUUCUACGUGUAAUUGAUGUUCUAUGUUUGUCUUUCUCUGACUUACUACACUUAGUAUGGUAUCAUUUAUAAAAAAUAAUGACUUCUUAGUAGUAAAUAAUAAGUUUUUAGUAUCAUUCCAAAACCUUGCCAUCUAUAGUCUGUCAUUCCAAUAAAUGAUAUAGAAAACUCUGAAUACUAUGGAAACGAUUACAAAUGAUUAUUUGCUAAUUAUAGAGAACAUGUUUAGUUCAUAAACAAUCUUUAUGGGAAUGAUAGCAGCAUUGAGAAUUAAUGGUGAUUUAGAAUGAAAAACAAAACAACUAAUAUUGUGUAGUCAUUUUUGAGAUAAUAUGAUGAUCAAUGGCGAUUUUUAUGUAUUACUUAUUGCUCCAAAAUAAUACCUCAGUUCCUUAUUAAACGCUUACAAUUACACACACAUAUGUUGCUGAAGCUGCAACCAAUUGAUUGUAUAUCUUUGAUGAAGGUGCUCAUGGCUUGUGUUUUUAAAUCACAGUUCCAGUGAUUUUGAGUUUUCAUUAGCUCCAGACUUUGAGGUAACUCAAAAUGAAUUCCAAUCUUCAUUGUAUCUAUGUCUAAGAAUAAAAAGAAUCAGAAUAACACUGAAAACCUUUUUCAAAUCACUUUUCCUACAAAUAUGGAUGGUGCUGGAAAUACUGAAAUUUCAGUAAGUAUCUCAAACACUCAAAUAUCACAGGAAUUACAGUUUUUCUCUUGAGGUAUAGCUUCACUGAUAUAGGCAAAAAAUAAAGGAAAUACUUAAUUAGCACAUAUAUUUUUAUACUAUAGGAUAUUUCUUAGAACUAUCAGAAAUAUUUGGUUAUCAUUUUGACAUCAUCUUAAAUAUUAAAUAUCUUCACCUAAUGAGUAAUAUGAGUUGUGAUAGACACUCUUAUGUGAGAAUAUACAAAUUAGAAAUUUAGUAUUGAUUUUAAUCUCCCUGGGAAGUCUUUUGAUUUGUCCUUCAAGUAAAAAAAUGAAAUAAAGUCUUUUUAUUUUGCCCAUUCUUAGGAGAACUAAAUUGAUGACUACGGAGGAGUUUUGUUAUAUCAUUACAAAGCACCAAAAGAAUUUGCUUCAGAGAGUCCUUUGGUAACAAGUGUGAAAAAAUGAUAAGGUUAAGAAACCUACAAAUGUGAUUUUUCUGGUGUCAUGCCCAAUUUUGAUCCCUCCUAGUCCAAAAAAAAAAAAACACUUUAAAAUUAUGCUGUGUUUUUGGCCAUGUUCUCCCUCCUUAGACUGAAAUAUCCUCAUCAGCUGCUUCUCAUAACAAAAUUCUCCUUAUCCUUCCUAAUGACUUCAAUUUUUCUUUAAAGUCAUUUUGGAUUACGUUAUUUGGAAUUAAAUACUUCAUCAGUGUAGCUAUACAUAUCCUCUCUGCAGAAACUACAUCACUGAGACAGAUUUUAGUAUUUAUCAAACAAUUAUAAACAUUUAACUUCUCUGUCCUAGACACAGUUCAGAUUCUUAACAAAUAAUAAUGACACUUGAUCUUAAAUGUCAAAGCAGUGUCUUCACUCUGAAAACCCUAAAAUCAAUCAAGAGAUGUUAAUGAAGUGAUCAAUAAGCAUCAGGAUUAUAUUUAGAAAUAACUUUGAUAUAGUGAGUAGAAUGGUUUGAAUGGAGAUAAAAGUUAAUAUUCAGAAGCCAGUUAAGAGACUAUUUCUGUAAUUUAGAGGAGAGAUGAUGAUAAAUUGGACAGGAAAGAUUUCUGUUGAGCUGGAAAGCAGUGAAUGGAAUUGACAUGCUAUCUGUGAGGCAAUACACUAGAUGUUUAUGGGGGGGUGAGAUGAGCAAUAAGAGGGGAUCCCUGGAUCCUUGACAUAUAUGACUAGAUCAAUAAUUAUGUCAUUCACUGAAACAGGAAAAUAUAGGGGGAAGAGCAAUUUUGAGAGAUAAGGAGAUCAUUAUUCUAGUUCUGUUUUUGGUGUUGAAGAGACAUGCAAGGAGAUAUUUAAGUAGGCAGUUGAAAAUACAGGUCAGAAUAGAGGUGUUGGUUAUCAAUACACAUGUGAGAAUCAUUGACAUAAAGAAAUUGUGUGAAGCCCUUGUCUCUGACCAGAUUGCUGAGGUCUGAGAUCUGCAAAGGAAUUUGAAAAGUAGCACUGGAGAAAUGGAAGUAAAAAAUGAAAUGUACUCUUUCUUCAAAUUUAAGGAAAAAGUCUUUUUCUGUUGUUGCUUACUAAGAUUUUGUUUUUGUUCUUGUUUUACAUGAUCAGUGCUACUGAAAAUUCAAAUAAAAUGAAGAUUAAAACAUACAAGAUAAUGAUAUAUAAAUCUUCAUAAAAGAUUUGUAGCUAGAAAGAGGGUAGUGGAAGCAAAGUAAGAAUGAUCCAAAGAUAUGUUAUAAAGAUAGAUACACACACACGUUGCUUUCCAAAGUGUGGUUAAAUAGAAGAUACAAUCCGUUUCAUUAUUUAUGUAAGUCCUGAGAAUUCUGUUGACAAAUUGCCCAAGAAUAGAAUAGAGUAGCUUUCAGUUCAGCAACCAUAUUAAAUCUAUUUGUUUUUAAAAAUAAAGAACAUAUCUUUGAGAAUGGGUGAUUACCAGCCAUGGAAACAAAGAAUAAGGAGCUAAUGUUAGCAUUACCCAUUCAUAAAGGGGUUGCCCUGGCCAGGUUUAUCAUUUUUGAAGAAAGAUGAAUUAGACUAUCUAGUUAGAUGCCAUUAAAUGUUUGAGUGAUACUAACUUCUGCUCUCCUUCUGUUCUCACAAAGCUAUCUUUACAUCAUAAUUUGAUUUUUCCUUUCUCAACAGAGAGCGUACACUCAUGUAGGAAUGUGCUAUUUCAGUGUUCUUAAGCAGUGAUCGUUCUCUGUACAGAUGAAUCCAUCACCAUUCUGAUUUCACACAGCCGUCUUGUGAGCUUGGUUAAUGGCUACUUGGUCCUGAGAAAUUGACUUGUGUUUAGGUGGUGACAGAAUCAGAUUCUUGAGUAUGCAAACCUAUGGAAAGAUUCUGAAAUCCAUGUAACACACUAGGGUGUUGAUGGGAAAAAACCCAUCUAUGACAUUUACUUCUCUACACUAACAUCUCUCAUUGGGUGUGAGGUUUUUUCUUAUUUCCAGUUACACAUUUACAAGUUUUCAUCUAAUGUAUUGCUAUAAGUCUUUGUGGGCAGAUAAUAUUUAUUUUCCAUAGCACCUUACAAGUUGUUCUAGAUGUAUUGACUACUGAAAAUAAAACAAAAUUUUUAAGUGUUUGCAUACUUUUAUUGAUAUGAAUCUGAGCAGAGCAUUAUUUGCUUGGCAGCAAACUUUAUAUUUGAUAAGCACUGUCCAUUCCCUUAUUGAAUUCUCUUGUGUUGGAAAUUAGAGCCUUGUUGAGGGGUAGGGAAUUUUCAUAAAUAUGACACCGUCCAAGAUGUUGAACUUUAACUCCUAGAUAGUAGGUAAAAAUGAACAAGUUCUUUACUGUAGUUGACUGCUUUGGUGGGAUUAAUAUUCAUGGGAAGCAUGGCUGUUACCUACCCUCAAAGAACAGAUUGCUCAUAAAUGCUCUGUUUGUAAUGAGAUAUUAAAGACCAGCACUCAUAAUUUUUCACUCUACAUUUAUAGAUUUGUUUCUGCUGACAGAAUACUGGAAAUGUAAUGUUCAGUUUAAUUAAAAUGGAAAAUAAAGCUUCUUCUCAGAAAUUCAGCAUAACCCCCCAAAAUGGCAAAAUUUUAUGUAUCUUAAAUGCAGGUACAAUGAUUUCCUACAUGUAUAUUUUUUUCCAAUACACAAAUAUAGUUAUACUUGUAUAUUACACAAUUCUCAAAGCAAACUGUCAUUAUCACAAAGAUGUAUAUCCAGAAUUCAUAUAAAGUCAUAAUUAUAUGAGAAAAUAAGUUGCAUAUCAAAUUGAUAGGAUAUGGUAUGGAUUGCAAAACUCACAAAAGAUCUACAUCAGAAGCCAACCAAUUUUUUUUUUUCUUGCAAAUGUCCAGGUAGUAAAUUUUUUCAGCUUUGUGGACCAUAUGUUCUCUGUCAAAACUGCUGUAUUCUAUUUGGAGCAUGAAAACAGCCAGACUAUAAUCAAAUAGGUGCUACUGUGUUCUAAUAAAUCUUUAUUUAUGGACAUAGAAAUUUGAAUUUCAUAUAAUCAUAUUUCACUAAAUAUUCUUUCUUUGAUUUUUCUUAACCAUUUAAAAAUAUUUCCUGUUGUGUCUCAGCAGGUUAGAAACCUGACAUAGAGUCUGUGAGGAUGUGGGUUCAAUCUCAGGCCCUGCUCAGUGGAUUAAGGAUCCGCCACUUAUGCAAGCUGCAGCACAGGUUGCGGAGGCAGCUCAGAUCUGAUUUUGCAGUGUCUGUGCAUAAGCCUUAGCUGCAGCUUGGAUUUGACCCCUGUCCCAGGAACUUCUGUAUGCUGCAGACAUACACACACACACACACACUCAUAUAUAUAUGUAAUAUAUAUGUAUAUUUAAAAAAUUCUUAGCUCACAUGCCAUACAAAAACAGGUAGAAGGCCUAAUUUGGGCCGUUAAGCCUUCGUUUGUAAACUAACUGUCUACACGCACACACACACACCAAACACAGCACUAUUUCCACUAAGGUAUUUCACUUCAAUGUAUUCAGUAAACAUCUUUGAUCUCAGCUCCUGCUAUUUUUUACCUUGCUUAUUUUAAUCUUUUCACUCUCAAAUUUUUUUUCUUCCACCAACUGUUAUUAUUUCUCUAUCUUGAAUCAUACUUAAAAAGUCCUUGCAGGGAGUUCCCGUCAUGGCUCACUGGUUAACAAAUCCAACUAGGAACCAUGAGGUUGCGGGUUCGAUCCCUGGCCUUGCUGAGUGGGCUAAGGAUCUGGCAUUUCCCUGAGCUGUGGUGUAGGUUGCAGAGGUGGCUCAGAUCCCGAGUUGCUGUGGCUCUGGGGUAAGCCUGUGGCUAUGGCUCUGAUUGGACCCCUAACCUGGGAACCUCCAUGUGCCACAGGAGCAGCCCAAGAAAUGGCAAAAAGACAAAAAAAAAAUCCUUCCACAUUCAAAGUUUUUAUGGAUAUUUUAUCUCAUCAUUUUAAUGUGUUCAUUUUAUUAAAAAAAUAAGUUGUUUAUUCAACACAUUUGCCAAGCAUAGAUCAGUUCAGUACUGUGUUUUCGUGGGAAGAUGUCUAAAUCAACACUGUAGUCUCCUAGAUACUGUUUUGGUAUAUCUCAGAUUCGAAUCAGAUCCUAUUUUUCCGUAUGGUUAGCCAGUGGACCCUCUUCAGUUAAUUCAACAAUUCUUCCAUUUUAAUUUUAAUGGCAUAUUUCUAAAUGUUAAAUAUUUAUAUUUUUUUGGUAUUUCUGAAUUGUUUUUGGUUGCAUUUAAUCAUUUAUAUACAAGCUAUAUUUAAAAUUUUACGUUUCAAAUGUAGUUGAUGUUUAUAGGUCAAUUCAGUAUGAUUUACUUUUUUCAAGAUUGUCUUGGAACCUCCAGUGAAGCAAUCUUGAAAUGAAAUUUGACAUUAUCUGCUGACUUAAAAAAAAUUCUAUUCAAACUUUGGUUGUGGUUGUAUAAAAGUUCCUAUUUAUCUAGGAAUUAACAUUUAAUUUUUCAUCAGAACAGGUCCUUUCAAGCAAUUUAUAAUUUCUUCUUAUGAAUGCAGCACAUCUUUUUUAAGUUAAAGUUAAAAAAAAUCUCUUGGCAAUUUUAAAAAGAAACUGUGUAACACAUUAUAUUUUGUACUAGAAAUGUACAUUAUGAAAUUAUUCAUUAAUGACACAAAUUUACGAUGCAUAUAGCAGCUAAGUACUGUGUUUUGUGUGUCUAAAUCAAUACUAUAUUUUAAAGUCAUGGUAAUGAUUAAGCAAUUAAAAUAAUUUAUUUCUCAAUUAUAAAAUAUUAUGUUCCAGUUGAGGAAUAUAUAGAAACAGUGAAGU
rnacentral:lncRNA from 1 species